CCCCUCGGAGCUGGAAAUGCAACUCUUGGGAUCCUCGGAGGCUACCGAGCUGGAGGCGGAGGCGGCUGGGGAGGUCCGAGCGAUGUGACCAGGCCGCCAUCGCUCGUCUCUCUCUGUCUCUCCUGCCGCCUCCUGGCUUGAAAAUAACUUUUUUACUCUAAAGGAAAGAAAAAAAAUCCCCUAGAACCAGUAGCCGUCCGCGCCUCGCGCCCUCGCUUCCUCUCGGCCGUCGGGUCUGGGCGGGAGCCCGGGGUGGC
rnacentral:lncRNA from 1 species